GAGAUGAGCGUGCAGGCCCAGCGCGUGCGUCUGCCGGAAGUGAGACCAGUAGAUGUGGGCCAGAGUCCUGAACAGCAACAAAAACACCUUCUGCACCAGGAAGAUGAAGCCGGUAGGGAAAACUGAGCCUGAAAUUCAAAGAGUUGCUGGAGUCUUGAGUUGUGGGGAAAAAGAAAACCGGCAUAAGGAGGAGAAACCAUGUCAGGUCCACAGACCAUGGGAAUCAAACCCAGAAUCUCAGUAUUGCGAGGCAGAUAUGCUAACCACGCGCUGGAUGCUUCAGGCAUACCUCUCCUCGGACCUGAGAGUAACCUCUGCACCUGGGACAGAGCUCACUCUCACACGCACGUUUUAAAGUAGAGCAGUGACUGACACGCAUGAUGCGCUAUUUCGUAAUAUAAAUAAAUAUUUGCCCGUCACCGUAUCCUUGAUAUGUACUUUAACGUCCAUGCACAGGACGCACUGAUAGAACAACUUUUUUUUUCCCCCAUGACCUUAAGAUGGAUAUUAAGGAUAUGGAUUAAAUGCGCAUACAGUUUAGUUGAAAUUCUGACAUGAAAAAAAAAUAAAAAUAGAUUUGUGGUGUUUUUGUACUUUUCUUUUUCCAACAAGUCAAAUGUUGCGAAACUCAGACCAGGCUCUGAUUCAUGCGCAAGAUAAACCCACCGACUUUUUUCGUCUCGGGCCGAUCAUUAAUGUGUAACCUCAUUUGGCUGUUGGACGUGCAAGCGGGGACGAGCCGCCGGACUGACAAACAUGGCCGCUAAGAGAAAUCAUAGAACAAAGAGCGAGGUUGCGCGUUGAAGGGCCCGUCGUCCAUAUUGGCGAUGAUGCCGGUUAGGCCGGUCCGUUGGCGGAGUUCUGCUUCUCUCUGUUCAACCAGCAAAGAAAAAGCACAGAUUUGCAAAUAGUUUCAUCUUUCUCUCCCGUGAAAAUAAACAUUAUGUGCAUGCGUGACAUUCCCGCAUAGAGUGACCACGCCUUCGUUAAGUCUGUCGAAUCUACACGUCGCAGAUGCUCAAAUGCCGCCGAGCUAUUUGAUGAAGAACCACCGCACCUAAUACUUGCUUCCGAGUAAACAAAAUACCGCCCAGCUGUUACGAGAAAAUGCCUGGUUCUCUCUGUAGUUAAGUAAACAAAGGCCCCUCGAGCUCGUUGGAGGAAGUAGCUCCGCUACUGUGUGCUCAGUAAAUAGACACUACUCACUGUGUGACAGCAGCCGGCUGCUGGCUAGGACUUGGGCAGUCUCCGUUUUUCCUUCCAGAUUCCGCAUCCCCCUCAUGUCCUUUCCCUUCUGGUGUCUUCUCUGCGUGACUUCAAAACAACCCCCGCCCCCCCCCCCCAAAAAAAGAGAAUGAGAAUGCGCUCUCGGUAGAACCAAAAUAAACCGCCGUUGUACAUCCUGGUUAAAAGCUCACCUCCGUUACCUGCUGUUGACGGUGUCAAGCCCCGCCCCCCCCCACCACCACCACCCCAAACAAGGAUCAAAUUGUCCAUGCUUGUAUCGGGGGUAGUAUUUGUUAGUAAAUCGCGUGCUAAUGCAUUGGGUUGGAUAGAAAAUUGUUUUUUCUUCAGAGCAUGCCUUGUGGUCAAAUGGGCGGGGACCUUCUUUACUCACUCGCUUGCUGCGCAGGGAAGACACGAGCUGUUUAAUAGGAAAUGAUGCACUGGAUAUGUCAUUAUUGCAAACAUCUGCGGCCCAGGCCACAGACACGCCUUUUGCUAUUUAUGGAUGUGUUAAUGCCGGGACUGGUGUUGGGAAUAGGGACGAGCUAAGCUCAUGGUAAGGUUUUGCGGUAGGUUAGUGCAGUCCACGGAUGAAUGAGUCUUGAUUGUCGCACGCGGCGUCCUAGUUCAAGGCAACAAGCAGAACACGCCUCUUCCCGUCUUUUGUUCCGAGCGCUAUUUGCUUUCUCAUACAAACUUCAGAAAAUCAUCACACGCUUCACAUACCGUCGAGUGGCUGGUCGGAAUACUCUGAGGGCGAGGGAGGGAGGGGGGGGGGACAGGUGGGAAGAGACAGGUGGGGUGAUAUCAGAACAGCAACAAAGAGAGGGAAAGCUUGGAGGGAUAGAUGAGGGACGGAUGGACGGACGCUCUUAGUGAGCAGACAAACGGUCGAUUGUAGAGCUAGCACUGGUUAUGUGCAAGGAAAGAAUGUUUUAAGAGGCCAUGUGGAAUGUGAAAGAAAAGUUUAAGAUCGUACUAGAAAUAAAUAUAGAAAUAGUGAUAAAUCAAAUCAAAAAAAUAAAUAUUCUUACGCCACCCAGAAUGAUGACUUAGCGGGAAGUGUUGGGGGGAAAAAAAAAACGCCUGUUCCAGUUGGUAGCAUUCAAGUCCCGUACCUGCUGAACACGGCACGCUCGUUCUUGGCGUCCACAGUCAGCCGGAUGGUUUCCUUGCCGUCGCCCCUGUUGAGGGUCUCGGUGGUGGCCGCGCGGGCGGACCCCAUUUUGUUCUCGUCUUCGUCGGUGUCGGAGCUGCUGGAGGAGGAGCUGUCCGACGCCACCAGGGGAGCUUUCCUCGUCCCGCAUACGCUCCACACGCAGGCUGGAGGCCAGGAGAAUCCUCUGAACGAGGCGGCAAUGCUGAAACAACUUUGCAAAGAGCAAAUCCGGAGAUCAGUCAAGAGAACGACAUCAAGAUUCCCUCAGAUACCUACAUGCGUCACCAAUAAUUGAUGUGCAGAAUCGUCGUGGGUCCCGAGGACGUCCGCCGAAGCCUGGUCCUGCUGAGGAGCCUUGACGUCUUGGGAGAGGAGUCCAGGCUGAAGUCUCAUUUCGUGGGCACAGGGCCGCAAGAUGGCCGCCACGCAUAGCUCCACUUGCAGGCGUGGCUUGGUCUCACCAAAAGCAGGUCCAUUGUAUUGAGGCGGCAGAGUUCCUGCGCGAUGACCGCGUGGCUGGCCGAGCUGGUGUACAGCAGGGAGGCCACGAGUCG